ACAACUUCCUUUUUGAGCAGAACUGCUGUGGUGCAGAGGGUUAUAUACUUCAUGAUUUUGAAGGACAUAGCCAAGGGUUCACAUGGAGCGAGAGAAUGCACAGGUUGCAGGCCACUUGGCCUGUGCUGCUCCUACCUGGUAAUGAAACGUGGGCCACAGGACUGACCUAAGCUCUCAAAGCCUUCAUUUCCUGAAGUCUAGAUGCACCAAGCAAUUCUUUGCUAAUUCUCAUACUUACUCUCAGGACAAAAAAAGAUCAAAAUCAUCUAUGAAGAGUGAAACCAGGCUUUGGAGAAAGAAGUACCAGCUCCAAUACAGAUCCUGAUGGUCAUUUCUGGAUGCAGAGAAUUUGAAGAAACCCAUCAUCCCACCUGCUUGCAUCCCUGGUCAUCUGUCUACAUGAGACUGUCAUAGGUCACUUCCCUUACCCUAAGCUUGCUAACAUGGCCAGGAUAGUCUAUAGUUUUUGUUUUGUUUUGUUUUUGAUUUUGUUCUUUUCAAGCUCACAAAUCCAAAUUUAAAAUUAAAACUUUUUCUUUUUUUUUUUUAAAGGAAAAAAAAAGUUAAACUCCCCCUGGGUUUUUUCUCUGGGACUCCUAUAAUCCAGUAGACAUGAUUUUUGUGAUCUUGUAUAAUCAUAAAUUCAGUACAGUCACCAUCAACAUCAUAAAAGUUAUCAACAUAAGUCGUAAAAUUAAAGCAGGGUGUGAUGGAGCCAUCAAACUCUGUAAGCUUUGCAAACAUUGACUCCCAUGUGUGCAUGGACUGGAGACCCGGGAGUGAGACGCCAUAGGAGCCCACGCCACUAUACUGGUUUUCAUUAGAAACAGCUGUGUUAGUGAGCGGCCUUGAGAACUGAGGGCCUAGCUCUGUGCUUGUGUCCUACGCUGCCCCUAGAGCUGUGAGACAAGUCAUUGAACUUUCUGGAAUCUCUGUGACCUUAGGCAUUAUGGUGUCUACCUGACUGGCUCUGUCUAAGGAAACAAUAUCAUGCUUUAGGAGAUGUUUAAUAAUCUCAAAAAGCAAAAAAUGCUUCUUUUACAGAUGUCUAGUGGGGAGACCCAAUCUAUCUUGAGAGGGAGAAGUUUGAAGAACAGGCCAGGCCUGGGCCUGUUGCCCUCAGACCCUUCUUGCCUUCUCCUGCUCAGUCUCCCAGGGUUGCAGGGCUGGGGAGGGGGCUGCGGGCUUUCUUCCCAGUCUCUUAGCAGAGUUCCAUCAAUGAUCGUACCAGGAUUGGACACUGAAGGGAGGGCAAAAAUUGUAUUUUUCCUCCUCUCUGUCAGGGUCUGUGGCAACAGCUAUUUCUCCAGCUCCAGCGGUUUCAUUUCUAACACCCCUCCCCUGGCCCUCCAUCUAGGGGUGGUGGUGGCAUUUUGCUGUAUUUAACUUCUGGGCUGCUUCACCCACUGUCUCCUUUUGAAUUCUUGGUUCUUCCUUCAUGUUUACAGGCAGUUCACUGCAUUAAAACCCUUCUUUUAUAAAUACCUUAAAUGUUUUCUGUUUCCCUUUUUUUGACCUUAACACAGAAAACUUCUCAUCAAAAGAAUUUUCCUAAUACUAGAUAUGACCUUACUUAGAAAGCUCUGGAACUGAGUUCUUCUCCUUAAAGGGGAGUGUAGCAUGUUACCAACAUGCAAUGCUACAUAAUAGUAUUUUCAGAGCUCUGUACUCUGUCCUUCAUCCAUUCAUCCAUCCAUCUGCCUGUCUAUCUUUAAAAGUCUACUGUGGGCUGGGGUUGUGGCUCAGUG